rnacentral:snRNA from 1 species
ACGUUUAUUUAUAUUCACUAUGA